rnacentral:rRNA from 1 species
AACGAACGCUGGCGGCAUGCCUAACACAUGCAAGUCGAACGAGACCUUCGGGUCUAGUGGCGCACGGGUGCGUAACGCGUGGGAACCUGCCCUUAGGUUCGGAAUAACUCCCCGAAAGGGGUUCUCAUACCGGAUAAUUUCUUCGGACCAAAGAUUUAUCGCCUUUGGAUGGGCCCGCGUUGGAUUAGCUAGUUGGUAGGGUAAAAGCCUACCAAGGCGACGAUCUAUAGCUGGUCUGAGAGGAAGAUCAGCCACACUGGGACUGAGACACGGCCCAGACUCCUACGGGAGGCAGCAGUGGGGAAUAUUGGACAAUGGGCGAAAGGCUGAUCCAGCAAUGCCGGGUGAGUGAUGAAGGCCUUAGGGUUGUAAAGCUCUUUUACCCGGGAUGAUAAUGACAGUACCGGGAGAAUAAGCUCCGGCUAACUCCGUG